rnacentral:rRNA from 1 species
AAAAAAGGUAAGCUACUAAGAGCGAAUGGUGGAUGCCUUGACUGGUAAAGGCGAUGAAGGACGUACUAGACUGCGAUAAGCUACGGGGAGCUGUCAAGAAGCUUUGAUCCGUAGAUUUCCGAAUGGGGCAACCCAAUGUAUAGAGAUAUACAUUACCUAUAUAGGAGCGAACGAGGGGAAUUGAAACAUCUUAGUACCCUCAGGAAAAGAAAUCAAUAGAGAUUGCGUCAGUAGCGGCGAGCGAAAGCGCAAGAGGGCAAACCCAGUGCUUGCACUGGGGGUUGUAGGACUGCAAUGUGCAAGAGGUAAGUUUAGCAGAACAUUCUGGAAAGUAUAACCAUAGAGGGUGAUAGUCCCGUAUGCGAAAAACAAACCUUAGCUAGCAGUAUCCUGAGUAGGGCGGGACACGAGGAAUCCUGUCUGAAUCUGGGUCGACCACGAUCCAACCCUAAAUACUAAUACCAGAUCGAUAGUGCACAAGUACCGUGAGGGAAAGGUGAAAAGAACUGAGGUGAUCAGAGUGAAAUAGAACCUGAAACCAUUUGCUUACAAUCAUUCAGAGCCCUAUGUAGCAAUACAGGGUGAUGGACUGCCUUUUGCAUAAUGAGCCUGCGAGUUGUGGUGUCUGGCAAGGUUAAGCAAACGCGAAGCCGUAGCGAAAGCGAGUCUGAAUAGGGCGCUUAGUCAGAUGCUGCAGACCCGAAACGAAGUGAUCUAUCCAUGAGCAAGUUGAAGCUAGUGUAAGAACUAGUGGAGGACUGAACCCAUAGGCGUUGAAAAGCCCCGGGAUGACUUGUGGAUAGGGGUGAAAGGCCAAUCAAACUUCGUGAUAGCUGGUUCUCUCCGAAAUAUAUUUAGGUAUAGCGUUGUGUCGUAAUAUAAGGGGGUAGAGCACUGAAUGGGCUAGGGCAUACACCAAUGUACCAAACCCUAUCAAACUCCGAAUACCUUAUAUGUAAUCACAGCAGUCAGGCGGCGAGUGAUAAAAUCCGUCGUCAAGAGGGAAACAACCCAGACUACC